AAUUAUCAACCUUUUCGGCUUCUUCUAGCUGAUUUAGGCUUGGAUGUGGGAGUUUGCGGGCUUCUCUAAAGUCGGCUCUCCUGAAAUGCAUUAGUAGGGACCUCUGUUGCCUCAGCUUUUGGUGUGAUAGUUAUCUACGCCAUUCUGCGAAGCAGCUUUAAAAUGGGGUUACUGCUUUCUAACCGUCUCUGCUGAGACAACUUAUGACA
rnacentral:misc_RNA from 1 species